rnacentral:rRNA from 1 species
CACGGGGGGAGCAAGCGUUGUUCGGAAUCACUGGGCGUAAAGGGCGUGUAGGCGGUCAAGUAAGUGGAAUGUGAAAGCCCCCGGCUUACCCGGGGAUCGGCAUCCCAAACUGCUUGGCUUGAGUACGGGAGAGGAUAGGGGAAUUCCUGGGUGUAGCGGUGAAAUGCGUAGAGAUCAUGAGGAAGACCAGUGGCGAAGGCGGGUCGUCGUGGACAGUUCCUGACACUGAGGCACGAAGGCCAGGGGAGCAAACGGG